AGACAAUUGCGCAUCGCGUCCCGCAGGCGUGGUGCGGCCAGCCUGGGUGGCAUAAAAGGCGCGGGAAGUCAGGUCCCGCUCUCACUCCCUCUCCCGACCAGGUCCAAGAUUCACGAAGCGGCUCCACGCUCAGCACCACGCCUCAUCGACACGUGGGCCAGUACCCUUACCACUUCUACGUUUUGUUUACUGUGUACACGGGAUUUCUCAAGCAAUCGGACUCCCUCUCCGCUACUAUGGUCCCACAACUGAUAUUCUCCGAUCCUUUGGGGCCUUCCACAUCCCAGGCCGGUACCGCAGGGGCCCCCUGCCCUACCCAGCAAACCCUAAGGGUAGGCGCAUGCCGUAGAGCGGUCUGUCGGUUUGGUGGCGAGAAGCCGGAUCACGCAGCAACUGCAACACGGAAGAGGGCUCGGGCGACGUCGCGUGAGGACAACAGCGCAGUGGGGUGAGGACGCAGCCGGCCUUCGCUUCGCCUCCCCCCCUCGGGGGCCUCCUCGGGCGGCUCUGAUGUGCACGGCGACCACACUUCCCAGAGGCCACUGCCGGCAAAGCGGCGGGUGGCACAGCGUCGCAGCCUCCACCUUUUUCGGCCGACGAUUGGACGACGCUGCAGGCGCCCAUCGCGCAGGCUCGGGGGCCCUCUCUUGUCACAAGCCUUCAGGGCAUGGGAACCACCGAGGACCCUGCCGCGGCUGCUACAGCCGCCCCUGCCCCCCUCCUUCACCGACCGUCGCCCACGGGCCAAGGCCAGGGGGCAUAAGUCGAGGCGAUGUGCGAGCUCCUCCAGUUUGUCCUCCUUCCUUCCUAGUUUUGUAGCGUAGUUGCUCUGCCUCCCUGAGGUUUCCCUCGCGGCCAGCGGGCACUCGCCCUUCGGGGGGGGGUCCGGCCUGCUGGCCUGCGGGGUGGGGGUGCAGCGCC